rnacentral:tRNA from 1 species
AAAUGAAAAGUAAAUUUUACAUUUAGUUUCGACCUAAAAAUUUGACAUUAGUCUUCAUUUU